GCUGGGCAUGGUGGCACAUACCUGUAAUCCCAGAGGCUUGGGAGGCUGAGGCAGUAGGAUUGCGAGUUCAACGCCAGCCUCAGCAACUUAGUGAGACACUGUCUCAA
rnacentral:sRNA from 1 species